rnacentral:rRNA from 1 species
UGGUGCCAGCAGCCGCGGUAAUUCCAGCUCCAAUAGCGUAUAUUAAAGUUGUUGCAGUUAAAAAGCUCGUAGUUGAAUUUCGGGGUUAGUAGGUUGGUCAUGCCUCUGGUAUGUACUGGUCUCACUGAUUCCUCCUUCCUGAUGAACCGUAAUGCCAUUAAUUUGGUGUUGCGGGGAAUUUGGACUGUUACUUUGAAAAAAUUAGAGUGUUUAAAGCAAGCUAACGCUUGAAUACAUUAGCAUGGAAUAAUGAAAUAGGACGUUCGAUCCUAUUUUGUUGGUUUCUAGGAUUGACGUAAUGAUUAAUAGGGAUAGUUGGGGGCAUUAGUAUUCAAUUGUCAGAGGUGAAAUUCUUGGAUUUAUUGAAGACUAACUACUGCGAAAGCAUUUGCCAAGGGUGUUUUCAUUAAUCAAGAACGAAAGUUAGGGGAUCGAAGACGAUCAGAUACCGUCGUAGUCUUAACCAUAAACUAUGCCGACUAGGGA